CCUACGGGAGGCAGCAGUGAGGAAUAUUGGUCAAUGGACGAGAGUCUGAACCAGCCAAGUAGCGUGAAGGAUGACUGCCCUAUGGGUUGUAAACUUCUUUUAUAAAGGAAUAAAACGAGGCACGUGUGCCUUUUGCAUGUACUUUAUGAAUAAGGAUCGGCUAACUCCGUGCCAGCAGCCGCGGUAAUACGGGGGAUCCGAGCGGUAUCCGGAUUUUUUGGGUUUAAAGGGAGAGUAGAUGGGUUGUUAAGUCAGUUGUGAAAGUUUGGGGAUCAACCGUAAAAUUGAAAUUGAUACUGGCAGUCUUGAGUACAGUUGAGGUAGGCGGAAUUCGUGGGGUAGCGGUGAAAUGCUUAGAUAUCACGAAGAACCCCGAUUGCGAAGGCAGCUUACUAAACUGUUACUGACAUUGAUGCUCGAAAGUGUGGGUAUCAAACAGGAUUAGAUACCCCAGUAGUC
rnacentral:rRNA from 1 species